UACGAAGGGGGCUAGCGUUGCUCGGAAUUACUGGGCGUAAAGGGCUCGUAGGCGGCCAACUAAGUCAGACGUGAAAUCCCUCGGCUUAACCGGGGAACUGCGUCUGAUACUGGAUGGCUUGAGUGUGGGAGAGGGAUGCGGAAUUCCAGGUGUAGCGGUGAAAUGCGUAGAUAUCUGGAGGAACACCGGUGGCGAAGGCGGCAUCCUGGACCAUUACUGACGCCGAGGAGCGAAAGCCAGGGGAGCAAACGGG
rnacentral:rRNA from 1 species